rnacentral:rRNA from 1 species
UUCCGGUUGAUCCUGCCGGACCUGACUGCUAUCGGAUUGGUACUAAGCCAUGUGAGUCGUUGUAGCAAUACAAGGCAUACGGCUCAGUAACACGUAGUCAAUCUAACCUAUGGACGGGGAUAACCUCGGGAAACUGAGGAUAAACCCCGAUAGAUCAUAAUGCCUGGAACGGUUUAUGGUCCAAAUGAUUCGUCGCCGUAGGGUGGGACUGCGGCCUAUCAGCUUGUUGGUGAGGUAAUGGCCCACCAAGGCUAUUACAGGUACGGGCUCUGAGAGGAGUAGCCCGGAGAUGGGUACUGAGACACGGACCCAGGCCCUAUGGGGCGCAGCAGGCGAGAAACCUUUGCAAUGUGCGCAAGCACGACAAGGUUAAUCCGAGUGUUUCCUGUUAAAGGAAUCUUUUGUUAGUUCUAAAACCACUGAUGAAUAAGGGGUGGGCAAGUUCUGGUGUCAGCCGCCGCGGUAAAACCAGCACCUCAAGUGGUCAGGAUGAUUAUUGGGCCUAAAGCAUCCGUAGCCUGUUCUGAAAGUUUCCGGUUAAAUCCAUUAACUCAACUAAUGGGCUGCCGAAAAUACUGCAGAACUAGGGAGUGGGAGAGGUAGACGGUACUCGGUAGGAAGGGGUAAAAUCCUUUGAUCUAUUGAUGACCACCUGAGGCGAAGGCGGUCUACCAGAACACGUUCGACGGUGAGGGAUGAAAGCUGGGGGAGCAAACCGGAUUAGAUACCCGGGUAGUCCCAGCUGUAAACGAUGCAAACUCGGUGAUGCGCUGGCUUGUGGCCAGUGCAGUGCCGCAGGGAAGCCGUUAAGUUUGCCGCCUGGGAAGUACGUACGCAAGUAUGAACUUAAAGGAAUUGGCGGGGGAGCACCACAACGGGGUGAAGCCUGCGGUUCAAUUGAGUCAACGCCGGGA